GUGCCAGCCGCCGCGGUAAUACGGAGGAUCCAAGCGUUAUCCGGAUUUAUUGGGUUUAAAGGGUGCGUAGGCGGGUAAUCAAGUCAGCGGUGAAAGUUUGCGGCUCAACCGUAAAAUUGCCGUUGAAACUGGUUACCUUGAGUGUAGAUGAGGUGGGUGGAAUUCGUGGUGUAGCGGUGAAAUGCUUAGAUAUCACGAAGAACUCCAAUUGCGUAGGCAGCUCACUGGGCUACAACUGACGCUGAGGCACGAAGGUGCGGGGAUCAAACAGGAUUAGAUACCCUGGUAGUCCGCACAGUAAACGAUGAAUGCUAGCUGUUGGCGAUACACAGUCAGUGGCACAGCGAAAGCGUUAAGCAUUCCACCUGGGGAGUACGCCGGCAACGGUGAAACUCAAAGGAAUUGACGG
rnacentral:rRNA from 1 species